UUCCUGGUAGCUAAAAGGUUAAGGCGAGUAGCUGUUAACUACUAAAUUGUAGGUUCGAGUCCUGCCCAGGAAG
rnacentral:tRNA from 1 species